GGGCCCGCACAAGCGGUGGAGUAUGUGGUUUAAUUCGAUGCAACGCGAAGAACCUUACCAGGGUUUGACAUCCUGCGAAUCUCUUGGAAACGAGAGAGUGCCUUCGGGAACGCAGUGACAGGUGGUGCAUGGCUGUCGUCAGCUCGUGUCGUGAGAUGUUGGGUUAAGUCCCGCAACGAGCGCAACCCACGUCUUUAGUUGCCAGCAUUUAGUUGGGCACUCUAGAGAGACUGCCGGUGAUAAACCGGAGGAAGGUGUGGAUGACGUCAAGUCAUCAUGCCCCUUACAUCCUGGGCUACACACGUGCUACAAUGGGGCGUACAAAGGGUUGCAAUCCCGCGAGGGGGAG
rnacentral:rRNA from 1 species